CUCCGGUUGAUCCGCCCGGACCCGACUGCUAUCGGAUUGGGAUUUAGCCAUGUUAGUUGUGCGUUCCUGGCUACAGGCGCGCAGCGUACGGCUCAGUAACACGUAGUCAACCUGCCCUGGAGACGUGGACAAGCCCGGGAAACUGGGGCUGAUCCGCGAUAGAUGACCUCAUCUGGAAGGAGAGGUCGUCCAAAAGGCGGCACGGGUAUGCUCUGUGCUAUUCGCUCCAGGAUGGGACUGCGGCCGAUCAGGCUGUUGGCGGGGUAAUGGCCCACCAAACCUAUAACCGGUACGGGCUCUGAGAGGAGAAGCCCGGAGAUGGGCACUGAGACAAGGGCCCAGGCCCUAUGGGGCGCAGCAGGCGCGAAACCUCUGCAAUAGGCGAAAGCCUGACAGGGUUACUCUGAGUGAUUUCCGCUAAGGGGAUCUUUUGGCACCUCUAAAAAUGGUGCAGAAUAAGGGGUGGGCAAGUCUGGUGUCAGCCGCCGCGGUAAUACCAGCACCCCGAGUGGUCGGAACGAUUAUUGGGCCUAAAGCAUCCGUAGCCGGUUCUGCAAGUCUUCCGUUAAAUCCAGCCGCUCAACGGAUGGGCCGCGGAGGAUACUACAGGACUAGGAGGCGGGAGAGGCAAGCGGUACUCAGUGGGUAGGGGUAAAAUCCUUUGAUCCAUUGAAGACCACCAGUGGCGAAGGCGGUCUGCCAGAACACGUUCGACGGUGAGGGAUGAAAGCUGGGGGAGCAAACCGGAUUAGAUACCCGGGUAGUCCCAGCUGUAAACGAUGCAAACUCGGUGAUGCAUUGGCUUAUGGCCAAUGCAGUGCCGCAGGGAAGCCGUUAAGUCUGCCGCCUGGGGAGUACGGUCGCAAGACUGAAACUUAAAGGAAUUGGCGGGGGAGCA
rnacentral:rRNA from 1 species